CGGCGAGACCGAGCGCCGGCAAGGAGGCGGUGGCCGACGGGCCCCGCCGACCCACCCGCCGGAGAAUCGGACGCCUCCGGACGCCGAGCCAUGGAGCCUGAGCCAGUAGAGGAUUGUGUGCAAAGCACACUGGCUGCCUUGUACCCACCCUUUGAAGCCACAGCCCCGACCCUGUUGGGCCAAGUGUUCCAGGUGGUGGAGAGGACUUACCAGGAGGAUGCGCUGAGGUACACGCUGGACUUCCUGGUACCUGCUAAACACCUGCUUGCCAAGGUCCAGCAGGAAGCCUGUGCCCAGUAUAGUGGAUUCCUCUUCUUCCACGAGGGCUGGCCACUCUGCUUGCAUGAGCAGAUAGUGGUGCAGCUAGCAGCCCUUCCCUGGCAGCUGCUGCGCCCUGGCGACUUCUACCUGCAGGUAGUACCCUCAGCAGCCCAGGCUCCCCGUCUGGCACUGAAAUGUCUGGCCCCAGGAGGUGGACGGGUCCAGGAGCUGCCAGUGCCCAAUGAAGCCUGUGCCUACCUAUUCACCCCCGAGUGGCUGCAAGGCGUUAACAAGGACCGGCCAACAGGACGCCUCAGCACCUGCCUCCUGUCUGCACCCUCUGGAAUUCAGAGGCUUCCCUGGGCUGAGCUCAUCUGCCCAAGAUUUGUGCACAAAGAGGGCCUCAUGGUCGGACAUCAGCCAAGUACACCGCCUCCGGAACUGCCCUCUGGACCUCCGGGGCUUCCAAGCUCUCCACUCGCCGAGGAGGUGCUGGGUACCCGGAGUCCUGGAGAUGGACACAAUGCCCCUGCUGAAGGGCCAGAGGGAGAAUAUGUAGAACUGUUGGAGGUAACACUGCCUCAUAUGAGGGGAAACCCCGUAGAUGCUGAGGCCUCGGGCCUCUCCAGGACCCGCACAGUGCCCACCCGUAAGAGUACUGGAGGGAAGGGCCGGCACCGGAGACACAGGGCAUGGAUGCACCAGAAAGGCCUAGGGGCUCGGGACCAGGAUGGGGCACGCCCACCUGGUGAGGGGAGCAGCACUGGGGCCACUUCGGACUCACCCCCAGGAGCUGAGGACCCAGAUGCAACAGCCCUGGAGGCAUCUGAGCCCCCAGCAGAGGCUCUGGGGGAGGCCUCUGAAUCCUGCCUCCUGGCAGGGGAGGCUGGGGGACCACCUGGUACCCCUCGAAGAACAGGCAAAGGAAACAGAAGAAAGAAGCGGGCUGCGGGCAGAGCUGCCUUGAAAGGGGACGGUAACCCACUCAGCGCCAGGGACAAGGAAGCCCUUGUCGGCCUGGCCUCACCCAGUGAACAGGAACCUGCAGAAUGCAGCCCGCUUAAGGAGAAAGAGGAUUCUGAAAAGCCAGAGUCUGAACCAAAAGAGGAACUCAAGCCAGCAGAUGGGAAAGAGCCUGCACCCCCAGAAGAUGGCGGACCUCCAGAAGAGGGGAUCAGAGAGAGUGAACAAGAGGAGUCGGUCCCGGUGUGCACUGCAGGAUCCACAGGUCCAGGGUUCAUCCUAUCUGACCCCCCAAAACAGCCUCUGGAGACUUUGCAGGAUGUAAAAGACAGCAUUCCAGAAGAAACACCCCCAGUUUCCAUCUUGGAUGACCCACCUGUAGCUUGGGACUUGAUGGCAUCAGGAUUCUUCGUUCUGACUGGAGGGGUCGAUCAGACUGGGAGAGCUUUGCUGACGAUCACACCUCCGUGCCUGCCUGAGGAGCCCUCACCGUCCGAAGAGACAUUGAGCAGCGCCCUUCGUUACCUGCACUCGCUGCUGAGGCCUGAUCUCCAGUUAUUGGGGCUAACCACCCUGCUUGACCUUCGCAAGGCGCCCCCACUGCCUCCAGCACUUAUUCCUGCCUUGAGUCAGCUUCAGGACUCGGGCAACCCUCCGCUCAUUCAGCGGCUGGUGAUUCUCACUCAUGAAAACCCUCCACCUGAACUCUGUGGACUUAAGGGAGCUGAGCCAUUGUCAGAAAAGGACCUGAAAAGAGUGGCCAAGCCAGAGGAGCUCCCAUGGGACUUGGGGGGUCACAGGGACCUCUCCCCCAACCACUGGGUGGAGAUACAUCAGGAGGUGGCAAGGCUGUGCAGCUUGUGCCAGGGUGUGUUGGCCUCUGUGCAGCAGGCCAUCGAGGAGCUAGAGGGAGCAGCGGAAGCAAAGGAAGAGGAGGCGGUGGGAACUCCCGAGCCCCUGCAAAAGGUGCUGGCAGAUCCUCGGCUGGCGGCGCUACAGCGGACUGGCGGAGCCGUCCUGAUGCGCAUGCGCUCCACCCACAGCAGCAAGCUAGAGGGUCCAGGCCCAGCUGUGUUAUACCAGGAGGUAGAUGAGGCCAUCCACCAACUUGUGCGUCUCUCCAACCUACGCGUGCAGAAGCAGGAACAACGCCAGCGCUUGCGCCAACUCCAGCAGGUGUUGCAGUGGCUUUCUGGCCCAGGGGAAGAGCAGCUGGCCAGCUUUGCCAUGCCAGGGAACUCACUCUCGGUCUUGCAAGAGACAGAACUGCGGUUUCGGGCUUUCAGCACUGAGGUGCAGGAGCGCCUCGCCCAGGCCCGGGAAGCUUUGGCUCUGGAGGAAGACAUCACCUCCCAGAAAGUUCUGGAUGUCUUCGAACAACGGCUGGAGCAGGUUGAGAGUGGCCUCCAUCGGGCGCUCCGGCUGCAGCGCUUCUUCCAACAGGCACACGAAUGGGUAGAUGAGGGUUCUGCUCGGCUGGAGGGAGCUGGACCUGGGCGUGACGCUGUGCUGGCAGCCCUAGCCCUGCGGCGGGCCCCGGAGCCCAGUGCGGGCACCUUCCAGGAGAUGCGAGCCCUGGCUCUGGACCUGGGCAGCCCAGCAGUCCUUCGAGAAUGGGGCCGAUGCCGGGCACGCUGCCAAGAGCUGGAAAGAAGGAUUCAGCAGCAGCUGGGAGAAGAGGCCAGCCCUCGAGGCCACAGACGACGAAGGGCAGACAGUGCCAGCAGCACAGGGGCCCAGCAUGGAGCCCACAGUCCUUCACCCAGCCUCAGCUCCCUGCUUCUUCCCAGCAGCCCUGGACCCCUGGCAGCCCCAUCACAUUGCUCUCUGACCCCGUGUGGGGAAAACCAUGAGGAGGAAGGCCUUGAGCUAACUCCAGAAGUAGAUGGAAGACCCCCGAGGGCUGUGCUGAUCCGAGGCCUGGAAGUCACCAGUACUGAAGUGGUGGACAGGACGUGUUCACCCCGAGAACACGUGCUGUUGGGUCGGGCUGGAGGACCAGAUGGGCCCUGGGGAGUAGGCACGCCUCGAAUGGAGCGCAAACGCAGCAUCAGUGCCCAGCAGCGUCUAGUGUCGGAACUGAUUGCCUGUGAGCAAGAGUACAUCACCGCUCUGAAUGAGCCGGUGCCACCGCCUGGGCCCGAGCUCACUUCCGAGCUUCGCUGCACCUGGGCCGCGGCCCUGAGUGCCCGAGAGAGACUUCGCAGCUUCCACGGAUCGCACUUCCUACAGGAGCUUCAAGGCUGCAGCACCCAUCCCCUGCGCAUUGGGGCCUGCUUCCUUCGCCAUGGGGACCAGUUCAACCUCUAUGCACAGUUCGUGAAGCACAGACAUAAACUGGAGAGUGGUCUGGCUGCACUCACCCCCUCGGCCAAGGGUUCUUUGGAGAGCAGCCCUUGCUUGCCUCAGGCCCUUCAACAGCCCCUGGAGCAGCUGGCUCGGUAUGGACAGCUCCUGGAGGAGCUCCUGAGGGAAGCUGGGCCUGAGCUAAGCUCCGAGCGCCAGGCCCUCAGGACUGCUGUACAGUUGCUCCAGGAACAAGAGGCCCGAGGCAGAGAUCUGCUCGCAGUAGAAGCUGUGCGGGGCUGUGAGCUAGAUCUGAAGGAACAAGGACAGCUCCUGCAUCGGGACCCAUUCACCGUCUUCUGUGGCCGGAAAAAGUGCCUCCGCCACGUCUUUCUCUUUGAGGAUCUGCUCUUGUUCAGCAAGUUCAAGGGCUCUGAGGGGGGAUCUGAGACCUUCACCUACAAGCAGGCAUUCAAGACUGCUGACAUGGGGCUGACGGAAAACAUCGGGGAGAGUGGGCUCUGUUUUGAGCUAUGGUUUCGGCGACGGCGCACACGAGAAGCAUACACUUUGCAGGCUGCCUCUCCAGAGACCAAACUCAAGUGGACAAGUUCUAUUGCCCAGCUGCUGUGGAGACAGGCAGCCCACAACAAAGGUAAUGGGCGGACUAGAUGGGUGGAGCUUGGAGUAUGGAGAUGACAGGAUGCCUUCAGAGACAGCUCAAGGGCUGGUUCAAGCAAGAGCUAUGGCCAAGACAGAACUAUCCGUAAGGAAAGAGAAAGCUAGAAAUUCCGAGGAAAAGAGCAAAUGUCUCCACAAGAGGUGCAGAACUGCUUACUGGACUGGGCUUAGGGGGACUGGUGUGACCCAGACCAAUAGCUUUUCUUUGUUGUUGGUUGGUACUGGGCUUUGAUUUGGGUUUCGUCGUUGUUGUGAUUUUCUGAAUCAUUCUAUCAAUCUGAAAAAGGCAAAGUGCUCUCUUCAGCUCAGUGUGAUGGGAGGGUCGAGUAGGUGACACAUAUAGAAGCACUUGACAAAUCACGCAGAUGCACAAAAGCAUGAGUUUUGCUCUUAAUGUCUACGAUAAAGGGCAGCUGAGUGUUCCAUGAAACGUGCUUGUCAUGCAAGUGUGAAGACCUGAGUUCAAAUCCCUGAACCCACACAAAAGCCAGCAGUUCCGCAAAUGUAGUAACAGGGACAUCUGUAAUCUCAUCCCUGCUACAGAGCACAUGGGAGACGGACAGGAAUUUCCUCCAGAAGCUUGCCAUGCAGCCAUCCUGGCAUAUGCACACCAAAAACAAUCAAGAGGUCAGCCAUAAACACAGGGGAAAAUGAAGAUCAACUGACACCAGUGUGCCCUAACCUCCAAAUGUGUAUUCCUCAUCCAUAACAGAUGUGCAAAUGCACACACACACACACACACACACACACACACACACACACACACACCCCAGGUGGCCAGGAGGCCAAAUGGACAGGAUGAACUAUAUAGCAAAGAACAGAUGCAUGUCUGAAGAGGCCAAACAUCACCCUUACGGUCUAUGCCAUGCUGGUCAAGGAAGGGGAGAAGGGGAGGGGUAAGAGAGUCAACAGCAGUGUGCUAACCCUGAGGCAGGAGGGCCGAGAGAAGGUUGUAAACAGGGUCUCUGUUCCCUAGAGCUCCGCGUGCAGCAGAUGGUUUCCAUGGGCAUUGGGAAUAAACCUUUCCUGGACAUUAAAGCCCUCGGAGAACGGACACUGAGUGCCCUGCUCACCGGAAGAGCCUCAGAAACACUUGACUCUUCUGGAGAUGGGUCCCCAGGACCAAGAACCGGCCCCAGCCUGCAGCCCCCGCACCCUGGGAACAGCACUCCCUCUCUGGCCAGUGGAGGGAUCUUAGGGCUCUCCCGGCAG